AAAGAACAGGCAUUGAGAAUGCCGAUGUAGAUAACGAAGGCCUUCGAAAUAUUCUGCAUUACUUGUUUGAAUAUUUCCAAAAAACCUAAAUUUCCUUUUGAUUAUCCCAAUAUCUUUUCAUUUUUUAUUUAUUUAUUUAUUCUUUUUUUUUUUUUUUUGAGACAGGGUAUGCCUCUGUCGCCCAAGAUGGAGUGCAGUGGUGUGAUACUGACUCACUGCAACCUCUGCUUCCCGGGCUCAAGCGAUCCUCCUGCCUCAGCCUCCCAAGUAGUUGGUACUACAGGCCUGAUCCACCACACCUGACUAAUUUUUGUAUUUUUUUUUUGUAGAGAUGGGGCUUCACCAUGUUGCCCAGGAUUGUCUUGAACUCGUGAGCUCAAGCAAUCUGCCUGCCUUGGCCUCCCAAAGUGCUAGGAUUACAGACAGAGUCUCACUCUGUUGCCCAGGCUGGAGUACAAUGGCAGGAUCUCAGCUCUCACUGCAAACUCUGCCUCCCUGGUUCAAGCAAUUCUCCUGCCUCAGCCUCCCUAGUAGCUGGGAUUACAGAUGGAGUUUCACCAUGUUGGCCAAGCUGGUCUUGAACUCCUCACCUCUGGUGAUCUGCCUUCCUCAACCUCCUAAAGUGCUGGGAUUACAAGCGUGAGCCCCCGCGACCAACCAUGAACUUCUGUUUCUGUUUCUCAAAUAAUUUCUCUUGGGACAAUCACUGUUAAAAGUUUCUUGUACAUGCACAAUUAUUUAUGUGUAUGUAUGUGUGUACAUACAUAUAUAAACCCCCUUUUUAUUACACAUUUAAGCUGUAUAGAUUGUUCUCCACCUUUCUUUUCUCCUUGACAAUUAUUUCAUAUCAGUGUGUACAGAUACACCUGACAUAUUUAACCACAUGUCAUAUUUUAUUACAUGAAGGAGCUAUAACUAAUUUCAUAUUGUGAAAUUGAAAGAUUCUUUUUAUUUUGGUUUGUUUUACUAUUUCAUCCAUUGAGUCUUCUGCUAGUUUGUUUCUAGAUAAAAUGCUACAACAAAUAUUCUCCUAUGUCUUCCUAAGCACAUCUGCAGGUGUGUCUACAGAAUAAAUUUCUGAAAGUAAAAUUGCUGGGACAGAGGAUAUAUAAUUUUUUGUUUUAAUAAAUGUUAAACACCGUCUUUCAAAGGAAUCACGACAAUUUUCUAUUGCAGCACCGAUGUGUGAACGUUUCUAUUUUCCAACGAUCUUUGUUUUUUUUUGUUUGUUUGUUUGUUUUUUUUUUUUUUUUUUUUUUGAGACAGAGCCUCAGUCUGUUGCCCAGGCUGGAGUGCAGUGGCACAAUCUAGGCUCACUGCAACUCACUAAUGGUUUCUCUUCUUUGUAUAUACUUGACCCAGUUCUGAUUUGACAUAUUUAAGCAGAUAAUCUUAGAGAGUAUAAUGUUACUGAUAUUUAGAUAAGUGAAAUCUUUCAGAGUGAAAUGCAGCUAGCAAACAUCCUUCCUAUUUUUGAAUUGACUCUCAUCACCAUUUGAAACAAUGUAAUUAUUUUAAAGUUUAUCAUCAACAGAGUUGAUGUUUCCAAGUUAACUUUACUGUCAUGUAAUUAGUCAUAUUAAACUGUUUUUGUGUAAACAAGCAAAAAUGUGCACAUAUUAACUAUAACUCUUAGGUGUUACAGAAAAUUAAAUUUGUGUGUCAAAAUAAUUAUUAUUGGCUAGGCGUGGUGCCUCACGCCUGUAAUCCCAGCACUUUGGGAGGCUGAGGCAAACAGAUCACAAGGUCAAGAGAUCUAGACCAUCCUGGCCAACAUGGUGAAACACUGUCUCUACUAAAAUUACAAAAAUUAGCUGGUCAUGGUGGCCCGUGCCUGUAGUCCCAGCUAUUCGGGAGGCUGAGGCAGGGAAAUCGCUUGAACCUGGGAGGUGGAGGUUGCAGUGAGCCAAUAUUGCACCACUGCACUCCAGCCUGCUGAAAGAGCGAGACUCCGUCUCAAAAAAUAAAAAUGAAAAUAAAAAUAAAAAUAAAAAAUUGGCUAGGCAUGGUGGCUCACUCCUGUAAUCCCAGCACUUUGGGAGGCUGAGGUGAGUGAAUCAUGAGGUCAGGAGAUCAAGACCAUCCUGGCUAACACAUUGAAACCUCAUCUCUAGUAAAAAUACAAAAACAAAUCAGCCCGGCGUGGCAGUGGGUGCCUGUAGUCCUAGCUCCUCGGGAGGCUGGGAUCAAGACCAUCCUGGCUAACACAUUGAAACCCCAUCUCUACUAAAAAUACAAAAAAAAAUUAGCCGGGCGUGGUGGCGGGCCCCUGUAGUCCCAGUUACUCAGGAGGCUGAGACAGGAGAAUGGCAUGAACCCGGGAGGCAGAGCUUGCAGUGAGCUGAGAUUGUGCCACUUCACUCCAGCCUGGGCAACAGAGCAAGACUCUGUCUCAAAAAAUAAAUAAAUAACUAAAUAAUAAAAAAUAUUAUUUAGUUCUAGUCUUUGGUGCUAUUUAUUAAAAAGUAUAAAGUGUAUGUUAUAAUCCUAGCUAUUAAUGUUAAUAUUGAAGAUUGAAAUGAAGAGAAUAAAGGUAGAAGACUUUUUUAAAAAUUGAUUUCCCUUUCUCCUUAUCUUUCUUUACAAUACAUUUAACUUACAAAAGAUAUGAGAUAGCUCACACCAAAUUAUAUAAUAUUAUAAUUGAAAUGGAACUUACACAUCAUCUGCCCUAAUAAAAUCAUUUUACAGAUGAAGAAAUUGAGGCCAAGAGGCCACUGAUUUGAUUAUAUGAUACUCAUUGUGCUUCUACCUUGAGAAAAUAGGCAUACUGUGGCACAGAGUAACAUUCUGGGGAGCAGCUUUCCUCAUAAUGGCAAAUCUAGGAUUUAUGGUUUCUUAUCUUAGUCCAUUUUGUGCUGCUAUGACAGAAUAGCACAGACUGGGCAAUCUAUAAAGAAUAGAAAUUCUUUUAGUUCUGGAGGCUGUAAGUACAAGAACAGACACUGGCAUCUGGUGUCUAGUGAGGGCCUCCUUGCUGCAUCCUCACUUGGCAGAAGAGCAAAAGAGAGUAAACCCAACCUGAAAUCUUUUUUAAUAAUGGCAUUAAUUCAUUCAUGACAGUGGGUUCCUCAUGACCUAAACAGCUCUCUUUAGGCCCCACUUCCCAACACUGUUGCAUCACAGAUUAGGUUUCUAAAACAUGAAUUUUGGGGGGACACAUUCAAACUGUUGUCCACCUCAAUUUUCUAUAGUUUGGAGGCUCUCUGUAUGAAUAAGAGCAUCUUAAUUUGCAAAUAUAACCAAAAACAUGCUAAAUAGAAUUUAAUUGGGAGGCCAUUAGGCUGAGAUAGCUCAGCACCUUGGGAUGCUAAAUGAGCAAACUGAAGAACAACGUACACAGUAAAACAAAACUUAAGCUUUACCAAUUAGAAACUUCCAACUACACUUUAGGGACUUUCCACUUUAACCAAUCAAAUAUCUUCAUUUUGCUUCCAUGAAUACCUUAUAAAAGUUUUCCUUUUGCCCCCACCCCUACCCUCAUUGAAGUGCUCAACCACUUGUGGUCUGUUGCUGCCCAGUUUAUGAAUUGCUAUCUGCUCAAAUAAACUCACUGAAACUUUAAUGUACCUAAGUGUACCUUUUAACACACAUGAUCAUGGCAUUGCUAAAGACUGCCAAAGACCCUUGGGGGGCCAGUGCACAUACACAAGAGAAAGCUCUCACUCUACCCUUUCUUGGCUUCAUGGUAAAUUCACCUCCGCUUCAUAGCAUUUCUUUAAACACAAGUUUAAUUUUCUUUAGCAUCUGAGAGAUAGUAUCAGCAAUGUCAUUUUUGAGGUUCUUCCUACAUAAGCUCGGGACUUUUGUUGUAAUUACCCACAGAAAUUCUCCUAAGCAUAAUCUAGAUAUGAAUUUUUAUUUUAGAUGUUCUUAAAGAAUUCUCCAAAGUCCUAGUCUAUAGGCAAGACUUCAUUGAGAGAAACUAUGCCUAUUCAUUCCAUUCAAGAUCUUGCCCUCUUUUAGGUUAUUUUAUCUAGAACUCUUCAAUGUAAAAUGGAGGUAGUCCCCAGUUGGUGACAUGUUCACAUACCCAUUCAUCAAGCUGAUGUCUCUCCUAUUCAUUUCCAUCUUCCAGAGAGGCAGGGCUACCUGAACAAAUAGCACUAAAUCCCAUUAGUACUACUUUUUACUCCAUAAUAACAUCUGCAGUGAAUUUAGCUUCCACUGACAUGCAGGAUGAUAUAUGAGUCAUUGAACAGCAGAAAGAUAUGCUCCUGGCUUCUGUGUAGAGAAGAUGACUUUAAAUCCUGGGGUUAGCUAUUUCCUCUUCUGUAGGAGAAAAAUGAGUGGACACACAAGGAAUGAAUAAUCCCCAUCUAUUUUCAGUUCUAACAGUGGAGAUUAUACACACACACGAACUCACACAUACACACAUAAAGAGAGAGCUUUCAAUACAUCAGCAAGAAGAGCAGAGCAAUUUUCACUGAUUGUAAGUAAAUAUGUCCCAUUGUUGGAAGUGUUGUUCU
ensembl:lncRNA